rnacentral:misc_RNA from 1 species
GUAUUUUGAAUUGUUUUAUUCAUAAUAUUUUUCAGACAAAGAGUUGGUUGAUGUUUGGUCGUUCCCAUAGAAGAGAACGACUGACAUUGCACACAAGGUGGAUAUGGAUUUAAAAAGUGCCAUAAAACACUUAUUAUGAAUGAUCCUUCCGCAGGUUCACCUACGGAAA